rnacentral:rRNA from 1 species
CAGCCGCCGCGGGAAUACGUAGGUGGCAAGCGUUAUCCGGAAUUAUUGGGCGUAAAGCGCGCGCAGGCGGUUUCUUAAGUCUGAUGUGAAAGCCCACGGCUCAACCGUGGAGGGUCAUUGGAAACUGGGGAACUUGAGUGCAGAAGAGAAAAGCGGAAUUCCACGUGUAGCGGUGAAAUGCGUAGAGAUGUGGAGGAACACCAGUGGCGAAGGCGGCUUUUUGGUCUGUAACUGACGCUGAGGCGCGAAAGCGUGGGGAGCAAACAGGAUUAGAGACCCGGGUAGUCCCUGUCUCUUAUAC